rnacentral:rRNA from 1 species
UACAGAGGCCACAAGCGUUAGUCGGAAUCACUGGGCUUAAAGGGUGCGUAGGCGGGCUCGCAAGCGUCUUGUGAAAUCCCCAAGCUCAACUUGGGAAUUGCAGGGCGAACUGCGGGUCUUGAGGCAGGUAGGGGCCGGAAGAACAGUAGGUGGAGCGGUGAAAUGCGUAGAUAUCUACUGGAAUGCCGAUGGGGAAGCCGUCCGGCUGGGCCUGUCCUGACGCUGAGGCACGAAAGCGUGGGGAGCAAACAGG